rnacentral:rRNA from 1 species
CCUGGUGACAAUAGCGAAGGGGAAACACCCGUUACCAUCUCGAACACGGCAGUUAAGCCCUUCAGCGCAAAUGGUACUAGAUUUAAGGUCUGGGAGAGUAUGACGUUGCCAGGA